rnacentral:miRNA from 1 species
CUAGGCUCAUCUUACAUCUACCU